UUUUACUUUGAAAAAAUUAGAGUGCUUAAGACAGGCGUUCUGCCUGAAUAGUGGUGCAUGGAAUAAUAGAAUAGGACCUCGGUCCAUUUUAUUGGUUUUGGUCUCGAGAUAAUGGUUAAGAGGGACAGACGGGGGCAUUCGUAUCGCUGCGUGAGAGGUGAAAUUCUUGGACCGUAGCGAGACGAACUACUGCGAAAGCAUUUGCCAAGAAUGUCUUCAUUAAUCAAGAACGAAAGUCAGAGGUUCGAAGGCGAUCAGAUACCGCCCUAGUUCUGACCGUAAACGAUGCCAACCAGCGAUCCGCCAGUGGUAUACCGCCCUGGCGGGGAGCUUUCCGGAAACGAAAGUCUUCCGGUUCCGGGGGAAGUAUGGUUGCAAAGCUGAAACUUAAAGGAAUUGACGGAAGGGCACCACCAGGAGUGGAGCCUGCGGCUUAAUUUGACUCAACACGGGAAAACUCACCCGGCCCGGACACCGUAAGGAUUGACAGAUUGAGAGCUCUUUCUUGAUUCGGUGGUUGGUGGUGCAUGGCCGUUCUUAGUUGGUGGAGCGAUUUGUCUGGUUUAUUCCGAUAACGAACGAGACUCUAACCUACUAACUAGUGACUGCAUCUCCCAUGUGCAGUCGACUUCUUAGAGGGAUAAGUGGUGUUCAGCCACAUGAAAAGGAGCAAUAACAGGUCUGUGAUGCCCUUAGAUGUCCGGGGCUGCACGCGCGCUACACUGAAGGAAUCAGUGUGCUUUUCCAUUGUCGAAAGACACUGGUAAACCGGUCAAAAUCCUUCGUGAUCGGGAUCGGGAAUUGCAAUUAUUUCCCUUGAACGAGGAAUUCCUAGUAAGUGUGAGUCAUCAGCUCGCGCUGAUUACGUCCCUGCCCUUUGUACACACCGCCCGUCGCUGCCCGGAACUGGACCGUUUCGAGAAAGGUGAGGACUGCCGCUGUCGGGGCCUUCGGGUCUUGGCACGUGGUGGGAAUCGCUCUGAUCGCAGUGGUCUGAACCGGGCAAAAGUCGUA
rnacentral:rRNA from 1 species